GCAAGGGGAGUGGCAGACGGGUGAGUAACGCGUGGGAAUCUACCCAAUUCUUCGGAWYAACACAUGGAAACGUGUGCUAAUACCGAAUGAGCCCUUCGGGGGAAAGAUUUAUCGGAAUUGGAUGAGCCCGCGUUGGAUUAGCUAGUUGGUGGGGUAAAGGCCUACCAAGGCGACGAUCCAUAGCUGGUCUGAGAGGAUGAUCAGCCACACUGGGACUGAGACACGGCCCAGACUCCUACGGGAGGCAGCAGUGGGGAAUAUUGGACAAUGGGCGCAAGCCUGAUCCAGCCAUGCCGCGUGAGUGAUGAAGGUCUUAGGAUUGUAAAGCUCUUUCACCGGUGAAGAUAAUGACGGUAACCGGAGAAGAAGCCCCGGCUAA
rnacentral:rRNA from 1 species